rnacentral:misc_RNA from 1 species
UGGUUCUGGCAUCGAUGAAGAACGCAGCGAAAUGCGAUAAGUAAUGUGAAUUGCAGAAUUCAGUGAAUCAUCGAAUCUUUGAACGCACAUUGCGCCCGCCAGUAUUCUGGCGGGCAUGCCUGUUCGAGCGUCAUUUCAACCCCUCGGCACUCUUCGGAGAGCCGGCGUCGGAUGCUCCCGCGUGCGGGACGUCCCAGAGACAGUGGCGGACCCGCCGUGGCUCCGAGCGCAGUAAUUCUACCUCGCUCUGGUGACCGCGGCGGGCAUCCUGCCGUUAAACACCCCACUUUUACAAGGUUGACCUCGGAUCAGGUAGGAAUACCCGCUGA